rnacentral:rRNA from 1 species
CCCUUAGAGUUUGAUCCUGGCUCAGGACGAACGCUGGCGGCGUGCUUAACACAUGCAAGUCGAACGAUGAUCCGGUGCUUGCACCGGGGAUUAGUGGCGAACGGGUGAGUAACACGUGAGUAACCUGCCCUUGACUCUGGGAUAAGCCUGGGAAACCGGGUCUAAUACCGGAUACGACCUUUCACCGCAUGGUGGUUGGUGGAAAGAUUUUUUGGUUUUGGAUGGACUCGCGGCCUAUCAGCUUGUUGGUGAGGUAAUGGCUCACCAAGGCGACGACGGGUAGCCGGCCUGAGAGGGUGACCGGCCACACUGGGACUGAGACACGGCCCAGACUCCUACGGGAGGCAGCAGUGGGGAAUAUUCCACAAUGGGCGAAAGCCUGAUGGAGCAACGCCGCGUGCAGGAUGAAGGCCCUAGGGUCGUAAACUGCUUUUAUCUGUGAAGAUUAUGACGGUAGCAGAUGAAUAAGGAUCGGCUAACUCCGUGCCAGCAGCCGCGGUCAUACGGAGGAUCCGAGCGUUAUCCGGAAUGACUGGGCGUAAAGAGUUGCGUAGGUGGCAUGUUAAGCGAAAUGUGAAAUCGGGUGGCUCAACCAUCCGGCUAUAUUUCGAACUGGCAAGCUAGAGCACAUGAGGGGUACCUGGAAUUCCCGGUGUAGGAGUGAAAUCCGUAGAUAUCGGGAGGAACACCAAUGGCGUAGGCAGGGUACUGGCAUGUGGCUGACACUAAGGCACGAAAGCGUGGGGAGCGAACGGGAUUAGAUACCCCGGUAGUCCACGCCGUAAACUAUGGAUGCUAGCUGUGGGGGGUAUCGACCCCCUCCGUAGCGAAGCUAACGCGUUAAGCAUCCCGCCUGAGUAGUACGAGCGCAAGCUUAAAACUCAAAGGAAUUGACGGGGACCCGCACAAGCGGUGGAGCGUGUUGUUUAAUUCGAUGAUAAGCGAAGAACCUUACCAGGGUUUGACAUCCCGAGAAGGCUUCCGAAAGGAAACUGUGCCGUAAGGAACUCGGUGACAGGUGUUGCAUGGCCGUCGUCAGCUCGUGUCGUGAGAUGUUGGGUUAAGUCCCGCAACGAGCGCAACCCUUAUGUUUAGUUGGAUUUUUCUAAACAGACUGCCUCGGCAACGGGGAGGAAGGGGGGGAUGAUGUCAGGUCAGUAUUACCCUUACAUCCUGGGCUACAAACACGCUACAAUGGCCGGUACAAAGGGCGGCGAAGCCGCGAGGUGGAGCAAACCCCAUCAAAGCCGGUCCCAGUUCGGAUUGCAGGCUGAAACUCGCCUGCAUGAAGUCGGAAUCGCUAGUAACCGUAGGUCAGCACACUACGGUGAAUACGUUCCCGGGUCUUGUACACACCGCCCGUCAAGCCACGAAAGUCGCCAACACCCGAAGUACGCUUCGCGCGUCCUAAGGUGGGGGAGAUGAUUGGGGUUAAGUCGUAACAAGGUAACCAAGGG